rnacentral:rRNA from 1 species
UCAAUAUAGAUUGAUUAAAAUUUAUUUAUUAAUUUUGUUUAUUUAUACAUAUAUAAUAUUAAAAAUAAUUAUAUAUUUAAUUAGUUUAAGUAUUUUUUAAAAAAUAAAUAAUUUUAAUUAUAGUUUAUUAGUAUUGUAAAAGAAUAUUGAAAUAAUUUGAAAAAUAUUUAAUUUAAAAGAAAAUUUUAUUUAUUGUACCUUUUGUAUCAGGGUUUAUUAAAUUAAUAUAUAAUUAUAUUUAUAUUUCUCGAUUUAAAAAGAGUUAAUUAAUUAUUAAAAUUACUGUAAUAAAAUUAUUUUAAAUAAUUAAUUAGAAAUGAAAUGUUAUUCGUUUUUUAAGGUAUCUAGUUUUUUAAGAAAUGAAUUUAAUUCAUAAAUUUUAAAUUAUGUUUUUAUUUAUAAUAAUUAUAUAAUUUUUUAAUUUUAAAGUUUUAUGGGAUUAGCUAUAAAACUUUUUUAUAAAUAAUUUUAAUAUUUAAAAUAAAUGUAAGCUUAGAAUUAGCUAUCAUUAAUAAAUUUGUUAUAAUUUAUUUUAAUUUUUAUAUUAUUUAUUAAAUUUUAAUUUUAUAUUAAAAAAUUAAUUUUAAUAAAGUAAAUUAAUUUAUAAUGAUAAAAUUAGUAUAUAUUAUUGUUUAAAUAAAUUUAUUUGAUAAGUUUUUAUAAAGAAUUCGGCAAAAUUAAUAUUCGCCUGUUUAACAAAAACAUGUCUUUUUGUUUGUAUAAAAAGUCUAGCCUGCCCACUGAUAAUUUAAAUGGCCGCAGUAUUUUAACUGUGCAAAGGUAGCAUAAUCAUUAGUCUUUUAAUUGAAGGCUGGAAUGAAUGGUUGGACGAAAUAUUAACUGUUUCAUAAGAAUUUAUAUUAGAAUUUUAUUUUUUAGUCAAAAAGCUAAAAUUUUUUUAAAAGACGAGAAGACCCUAUAAAUCUUUAUAUUAUUAGUAUUUUUAUUAUUAAGAUUAAUUUUAUAAUUAUAUUAUAUAGUAUUUUAUUGGGGUGAUAUUAAAAUUUAAUAAACUUUUAAUUGUUUUUUACAUUAAUUUAUGAAUAUUUGAUCCAUUAAUAAUGAUUAUAAAAUUAAGUUACUUUAGGGAUAACAGCGUAAUUUUUUUGGAGAGUUCAUAUCGAUAAAAAAGAUUGCGACCUCGAUGUUGGAUUAAGAUAUAAUUUUAGGUGUAGAAGUUUAAAAUUUAAGUCUGUUCGACUUU